AGUUCCCCGGCUGGAUGCGGUGACUGGUGCCAGUGCUCAGGCGCCCGCUGCCCUUGACCUCCCGCCCCGCGAGCCCUAACUCAGCGCAGGAGGACCGGCUGCCGCCGCCGCCGCCGCCAGGCCACAGAUGCCAUGGCCCACGUGGCCGGCUUCACUGUGGCUCAUGACGUGAGUGCUCGUGACUGGCUAACAAGAUGCAAUGGGAAACAGUGGCUGCUGGGAAAAACCUUCGACACCUUCUGCCCUCUGGGCCCUGCCUUGGUGACCAAGGACAGUGUAGCAGAUCCACACAACUUAAAGAUCUGCUGUCGAGUGAAUGGGGAAGUGGUCCAGAGCAGCAACACCAACCAGAUGGUAUUCAAGACAGAGGACCUGAUAGCCUGGGUGUCCCAGUUUGUUACCUUUUACCCAGGGGAUGUCAUCCUGACUGGGACCCCCCCACCUCCACCCAGGUGUCGGUGUAUUCAGGAAACCUCCUGUCUUUCUCAAGGUCUCUGAAGGUCCAGACAGCACUGAUGGCGAGCUUUGGGUCCGCACACUCUGGAAAGAAGAGAGAAGUGAAGGCUCUAGGGGGCAGCAGCCACCAGCAAACACCACUGCCUGCAGGAGCCUGGGCUGACUGGUUGGGACUCACCGAAGAUCCCUUCUUCCUGGGCGGUGGCCUGCAGGAACUGGAACAGCUGCUCUGUGUAGCCCAACUCUGCAGAAGAGAGAAGACCUAGACCUGGCACCCAGCACAGACACAGCCUGCCUCGAGGACUGCAAGGGAACAAGGGCCUCACCAGUAUCGGGCAGCUGGCCCUGGCGGAGGAAGGCGGCAGCCUGUGCAAAGGCCUUGAGCAGCGGGCUGAGCAGGCGGCAGAGGAAAAGAAAGAAAUCUGGGCAGUGUGACUGCUGGCUGAGCUGGAGGGGACAGGCCGGGGUGAGUGCAGCUCCCCACCGCCUCCCUACCACCUCCCUCCAGGGGCAGCUUUUUGAAACACACCCUGAAGUACCGGCCGUCAGCCUCUCCGAAGUCAUCACUGUCACUAUCAGUAAAGUCCCCACUCGGUUUCCACAGCA
rnacentral:lncRNA from 1 species